GGAUGAGGAUCUCCCUGCAGGAAGCUUCUCAGAUUCAGCUCUGUUUACGGGGGCAGAAGUCAGUUAGCAAUCAUCCUGCCUCGGAUGACACUCACCGGCCACGAUACGGCCACUGCGCAGAGCUUGGACGCAGAGUCACGGGACCCUUUC